rnacentral:rRNA from 1 species
AACGAACGCUGGCGGCAUGCCUAACACAUGCAAGUCGAACGAGACCUUCGGGUCUAGUGGCGCACGGGUGCGUAACGCGUGGGAACCUGCCCUUAGGUUCGGAAUAACUCCCCGAAAGGGGUGCUAAUACCGGAUAAUGUCUUCGGACCAAAGAUUUAUCGCCUUUGGAUGGGCCCGCGUUGGAUUAGCUAGUUGGUAGGGUAAAAGCCUACCAAGGCGACGAUCCAUAGCUGGUCUGAGAGGAUGAUCAGCCACACUGGGACUGAGACACGGCCCAGACUCCUACGGGAGGCAGCAGUGGGUAAUAUGAGACAAUGGGCGAAAGCAUGAUCCAGCAAUGCCGCGUGAGUGAUGAAGGCCUUAGGGUUGUAAAGCUCUUUUACCCGGGAUGAUAAUGACAGUACCGGGAGAAUAAGCUCCGGCUAACUCCGUG